rnacentral:rRNA from 1 species
UACGUAGGGGGCAAGCGUUGUCCGGAAUCAUUGGGCGUAAAGAGCGCGUAGGCGGCCCGAUAAGUCCGCUGUGAAAGUCAAGGGCUCAACCCUUGAAUGCCGGUGGAUACUGUCGAGCUCGAGUCCGGAAGAGGCGAGUGGAAUUCCUGGUGUAGCGGUGAAAUGCGCAGAUAUCAGGAGGAACACCAAUGGCGAAGGCGGCGACCUGGGCCAAUAUUGACGCUGAGGUGCGAAAGCGUGGGGAGCAAACAGG